GGCACGUUUAAGAGCUAAUUUUUGCAGGAACAAAGAUGAAGAGCAUAUUUGUCAUCGUGUUGUGGGCUGGUUGCGCGAUAGUGGGCUACUCAUCUGCGACACAAGUUGAAAAUGAGGCACGCGGUGGAUUGUCCUUGGGGACCCUUGGACCUGAUGACAGACUGCUAUCCAAUACCAACCAUGCAGUUGAAGCAGCAGUAUACGUGGUGCAAACGCAAGAGGUAUUAAUACGUACGGUUCAAUAUUCGAGUAUAACUUCAAUUCAUGUUUCUGAAGUCGGAACAACUACGAAUGCGAGUGUGAGUAUUAUUGAAGGAGGGCUUAGGACCAAUUUUGUUAAAUUCCUUUUCCAAUCACAGAAGGGACGAGCAUACUCAUAUAAUAUAAGAAUUCAUGGCACAAUUGAGUGUUAAAAUACAUUUUAUUUUCUUUAGCCACGUAUUUUUUAGACGGAUAUUAUAAACACUUUUGACAAUGUAUUGAUUUCAAAUAUCGCGUGAUGUGACGUCACUUCUAGGUACGUUUUAUACUUAGAAAUGACGUUCUAGCUUGAGAGCUGAAACGUUUCAUCUAAGUACUGUUUGUUGCCUUAAACGACAAAAAAAUACGUGUCUAAAUAUUUUUUCAUUCCCUAACUGACGGAUUAAAUAGUAAUUUAAUUUUCGUACCUCAUUAUCAUCAUCCCUAUUAGAAGAUAAGGGUUGGAAGUAGGUAACAGAGGGGCUAAUAUAAAAUAUACUCACACAUACAAUAAUAAUACCUUGUGACACUCAGUCAUACCUACACAGAUUCACAUUCGACACAUCUAAGAAAGUUUGAUAGCUACAAUAGUUAGUCUUUAUAUCGAUGCCCUCUGGUGAAAACAAUAAUAUCUCGCAUCGUCGUAGAGAUGAUUUGCAAAAAACUAUGUAAUAUUAUGAGACUAUAUUAUAUUUUUUUGUUAUGUGCGUUAAGUGAAUUGU